GAGUUAUAGUAUAUAGGUAGUGUAUAGUGUAUAGGGUUAUGAGUUAUAGUAUAUAGGUAGUGUAUAGUGUAUAGGGUUAUGAGUUAUAGUAUAUAGGUAGUGUAUAGUGUAUAGGGUUAUGAGUUAUAGUAUAUAGGUAGUGUAUAGGGUUAUGAGUUAUAGUAUAUAGGUAGUGUAUAGGGUUAUGAGUUAUAGUAUAUAGGUAGUGUAUAGGGUUAUGAGUUAUAGUAUAUAGGUAGUGUAUAGGGUUAUGAGUUAUAGUAUAUAGGUAGUGUAUAGGGUUAUGAGUUAUAGUAUAUAGGUAGUGUAUAGGGUUAUGAGUUAUAGUAUAUAGGUAGUGUAUAGUGUAUAGGGUUAUGAGUUAUAGUAUAUAGGUAGUGUAUAGGGUUAUGAGUUAUAGUAUAUAGGUAGUGUAUAGUGUAUAGGGUUAUGAGUUAUAGUAUAUAGGUAGUGUAUAGGGUUAUGAGUUAUAGUAUAUAGGUAGUGUAUAGUGUAUAGGGUUAUGAGUUAUAGUAUAUAGGUAGUGUAUAGUGUAUAGGGUUAUGAGUUAUAGUAUAUAGGUAGUGUAUAGU